UUUACAGAUCAGCCCCUCCAUAGCUUAGGUUCCUGCAGUUCAGUAUGUUCGCUAUAGGAGGUGACGAUUUUGGUGGCUUGCAGGAAUCCGAAGUGCUCCUUUGAUCAGCUCUGGUUUGAUGCUGGUGGUUCUGCCCGUCUGAAGUCUCUUGGGAUUCAUUCAGUGAGCUUGCAUCCUGGUGGCUUCCAUUGAACACCAGAUCACAGGGUAUGUUUCGUUCCACUCUCUGGGCAAUACUCUGUUAAUCUUGAGUGUACGCCUUCAACGACGCCCGCAACGGUUGCGCCCUCAACGGCGACGGCCGCGGGCCCGCCCUCAACGACACCGGCAGCGAUUCCGCCCUCAACGCCGACGGCCGCGGGCCCGCCCUCAACGACACCGGCAGCGAUUCCGCCCUCAACGCCGACGGCCGCGGGCCCGCUCUCAACGCUGACGUCCGCGUGCCCGCCCCAACCGCGCGCCUCCCCCACGCUCGCUCGCGAGCCGCAUCCUGAACCGCCCCCGGCCUCGUCGCUGCCGCCGUCCACGCGCGGAGACGACUCCGCACAGAUACUGGUUUCCUCUGGUUGAAGUCCAAGUUGAAAUUAACUAACAUUGCUGAGUGUCUGUAUGUGUUAACAGCCUGUAGUGCCAGGAGCUCUCCAAGUCCAAGCAGUUCUUCACAUCCCCUCACAAAGGUGAAUUUCGCCUACCUCUCCUUUGUGGUCUAUUGGUCCGAUUGUCCAAUUGAUUUCUGUUGUGCAGUGUCACGUGAUCUGUUCGUGUGUGGGGUAAAUAGUAACGGGUUUUGUUCAGAUUGAUUGUCCGAUGGGGUGUGAGUACUGUGAGGCACUGUGGAUUUUUACUGUUAUUUGGAUGCAGGGCUUGCCUAAGCUCAGAGCCCGAGGGAUUUACUAGCUGAAGCAAAGUCAGAUAUUGUUGUGAAAUGUGAAGGUUAGUUCUUCUCUUGUAAGGAGUAUAUCUCAGCCCUGGUACUAGGGGCUGUCUUUUGAUAUGAAUAAACCAUAGUGACUGAAAGAUCAUUGCGUGGGGCUUUACUGAAAUAUCUAAUACAUAAUUCAGAAUUGGCAGUUUGGACAUAGGGUCUGAAUUGAAUGCAUGCACACUUUGGUUUGUGUGUUUCUGAUCAACCAUUAGCAUCUUAUGUACACGAUACAACACUCAAUUCCGUUGACAAUAUUCUACACAUGCAUAUCACUUGUUCAAUAUAGAAGUCUCCCUUCUGUUUAAACCAUAUGAUGAAAUAUCGAUGCAAUGCAACUUGCUAUGACAUGAAGUAGUCAGCCCCAAGAGUUAAAUGAGGUGAAGGUGAGUCUCGCAUGUGCACCCUGACCCUGUGUGUGCAGCUGAUCAAUAUAGCAGCAUUAAUCUUGCAAACUUGGCAGAACAUAGGGUGUCUCUUGAACAGAGCUUAUCAUCAAUGAACAAAUAUUAGACUCAACAUAGGAAGCCAGUGUAGGCAAAUAUUAGACUCAACAUAGGACUUCUGUCUUCAACUUGAAAUGAGAAAGAAUUAGAACAAACUAUCAUAAGUUAGAAUGUGGUCCAAAUUUAAGUUAAAAGCUGAUCUACUCUUACAGAAAGUUCUUAGAUGAACAGAGCUGACUUAAAUUGUAAAUAAACUCUGAGAAUAAAAGUCAGACCUACAGGAGGCACUUGAAGUUAUACCUUUUUGCAUCAUCAUGCUUGUUAGUUGUGCAUCUGUUGGUGAUCUUGGUUGUUGUCCUAAAGCAACCUCCAUUCAGUUUGCUAUGAUUCAACAUGAUCUUGAUCAAUUGGCAUUAUUUUAUAUAUAGUCCAGGAGCAUGUGUAUGAUCGAGGCUAUUCUUUCAGUCUUAUUUCUCGCAGAUUCAGAGCAUUGAUUAUUUGCUUGGAAUUAUUCUUUCAGUCUGAAUUCUUACAGAUUCAAAAUAUUCUUGCAUUGAUUAACAACCAGUAGAGCAAGUCCAAGCAGGCAGACAUGAGUUGAUCCACUCGACCACUCGGUUGAUCUACUUUUCCAAAAAUAAUUCUUUUUCUUUGUUUGACAUUUUGACUUCAUAUAUGAUUGAGGCAUGGACACUGGUGGUGAACCCGGUGGAGUUCAAAUCUAGCACAGUGGGUAAAUUUAUCUGCCCAGGCGCCUCAUAAUCUGGAAGCAGUCCAGUAUCUCUACUCUGCCCAUCCCUCUAUGCUGUGAAACCUUUUUUCAUUCCUGGUACCUGAAGGAUUAGCUGUUCCUUCUAAUGUUCAGCUGUUUCUAGAGCUCCUCUCUCAACAACAAAUUAUUUUCUGGACAUAAUCUAGCUAAGACAAAAAUGGUUGCUGAAAAAUAAUUGUCUAUUUCUGUUCUGAACUUAAAACAAUUGUCAGUAGUAGAAAAAGAUUUGGCAGCUGGAGAUAUAGCAGAAGGUUGUCUUUCCAUGAUUUCCUCAGUUGGUGCCUGACGAUGCUGGUAUGAUGUUACAGGAGAUUUAAAUGGACGCCUUGGUGCUGAAACAAGUGAGCACCAUACCUAUCAAUUCAACUGGGAGCUCUCUUCAGAAAAAUCAUAUACUGUAUGAGCUGCUGUGUAAUUUCAUGGAUAUAAAAAAUCCUUUGUAUUCCAUGACCCAAAACAUGGUGGCUCAUAUUUGAUUCUGAUCAACUGAGUCUAGGAUCUGUCCUUAUUUAAUACAGUUUCACAUGACACUUAUUUACAAUACUAAUGCAGCAAGUUAGAAAUUUGGUUAAUUAAUAAAAUAUAGUAACUCUAGUCCUUCAAGCGCUGAUUUGACCAAGAUGCCCCUGGUCGACCAUUCGAGUCUUGCUUCUACCCGGCCGUCCGACCCUCGUACGGUCGCACCAUCGUCAUCAUCUCGCGAUCUGCGGAGCCGACCCCCUCCUCUUCUGCCGUCACUCCCAGCAGACUGACGCCGCCGUAGCCUCGGGGAAGGGGAGAGCCGGCCUUCACCGGACGCACAGUAACCAGCUAGCUAGAGUUCCCCCCAGGACGCAGGGUCAUGAGCCAAGACGAGGGGGGCAAGACCAACAGCUCGGAGGCGCCGGAGCUCAAGCUGGAGAACGACGACCUCCUGGAGGAUAGCUUUCGCCGCCUGCCGGCGCUGCCGUCCUCCCUCCUCCGAGCCUCUCGUGUGCAAGCGCUGGUGCCGCGUGGUCUCGGACCCCAUUUUCCUCCGCGAAUUCCGCGCCCACCACCGGAAGCCCCCUCUCCUGGGCUUCUUCUCCCGCGACCGCGAUUUAUCGGGGAGCGUGGAGUUCACUCCGGUGCUGGAUCCACCGGAUCAGAUCCCUGCCUCGCACUUCUCCUUGCAGGUCGCCAGGGGCAGCAAGGUCCUGCACUGCCACCACGGCCGUGUCCUUAUCUACAGCCCGGAAGAGCAGCACUUGUUGGUGUGGGAUCCCGUCACCGGCGACCUGCGCCACCUUGCCCUGCCCCCAGCGUUGGACGGAGGCAAGGUCGUCGUACUUGAUGGUGGGGUCGUUUGCACUUCCACCGACCAAGGCCACGUCCGGUGCCUGCCACUCGGAUCCCUUCCAGGUGGUCGUGGUACUUGGAGACAGUGCACGAUUUUAUGGCUGUGUUUACACAUUGGAGACCAGGGGAUGGGGCAAUCUCAUGUCACUACUUCGGGAGCCGCCGGGUGGUCUGAUUCCUUCUCCUACCUGCCCCGGUUCCAUGUUCAGGAAUUCCAUCUGCUUGUUGCUUAUUGGGAGAAAGCCUGUCGUCCUUGAGUUCGAUUGGGCUAGGCAAAACCUAGGUACAAUAGAUGUACCAUUGGAUGCACAUGACUUCCGUGCCAUUUUCUGUGGCUGGCACCAGGUCCUGAUUACACGUGGAGACAGUGGAGGUCUCAGCUUCAUUGUUCUAGCAGGCCUCAGUGUCCAUGUAUGGAACAGGACGUCUCAUGGUGAUGGUAAUGCUACAUGGAUUCCUGGGAAUACAAUUCAACUGUACAACUCUUCCCCCGUACGCUCAGCGAGCGGUGGGUCAGGAGCACCUAUUUAUACUAGGGUUGGAUGAAGAUGACAAUGUCUUGUUUAAAUUAACAGAUAGUGAUACUGUCCUCAUGGUUCAUCUUGAGUCAAUGAAGUUCAAGAAACUUCCUCAAAAGAUGCCCUACAUCUUUUGCGCUCCAUUCUCAAGUUUCUAUAAUCCAGGUACCCAUGUGAAUAAUGCUGGACGUGAUGCUGAAGCUCAAAUAUUUGAUCGAGCAUAAAGUGGUUGUCUAGAACAUUCUACUGUGCUUUAUUGGUUGAAAGUGAGUUCGUUUUGGUUGCCCAGAUACAGAAAAGGCUUGUUGGUGUUGAAGCUGUUGCCCAUGUGGGAAUUUACCCAAUAUACUGUGCGUGUACUGGAAAACUGUGGAGUGUACAUCCAGGUGUUAGUUCCCCAAUUUGUGAUACAUCUACUGUAAAAUUAUGUGAGGUCGGUCUAUACAUCCAUUUUGGUUUGUUUGGCUAUGUAUCGUGUUGGUUCUCAGGUGCAUCUGUAUGCAAAUUCAAAAUGAAGAAAUGGAAACAUUUUUAUCACCAUUA